AGUAACGGCUAUUAAUAUAUCUCAUAACGUUCUCAAGUGCUUGUUUGGGUAUUGAUAUGGAGGGCGAUCGUGGUCUAUUGACAUUGAUAGACACGUGGGUUAUCUCGUUCCAAGAAAUAAACGAGAAAUACGUACACAGUAACUGUUGAGUCAGGUACGUCAGGUACAUCAGAUCAACAGCCUUCAUUGUGACAACUGGUGGCAGCGCCUGAAAUAUAGAAUCACAGCACGGCGCUAGCACUAUGGCAGAUUCAUAUGAUGAAACGGAUAGCAGCUAUAUGUCGAAAACGAAGAUCAACUGUACGGGGAAAGGCAAGUCUAAUGACUGUAAAUUACCUUACAACCCCAGUAUGUCCUCUGAAUGUGAACUCAAAGAGUAUGACGUCACCAGAAACGGGAGGAAACUCGCCGUCAUCAUCAACAUCACGGACUUUGAAAGCAAAACGGGAUGCCCCAACGCACACACGCAAAGACGGAUGAAGCCGUCAUCACUAACAUGCUCGAACAGCUGCUAGGGUUUGAGCUUUUCCCUAAAGAAAAUCUGACAUUACAAGAUCUCACUGAUCUCUUCAAGGAAAUGCGUACCUGGGACUACAAGAACGUGGAGACGCUGGCCGUUGUCGUGAUGUCGCACGGGAACAACAGGGAGAUCUACACACAUGACGGUCAGAAGGUUGAGAUGAAAGUACUGCUAGAGAACCUCAAAGGCAAGAAGUGCAAGGGACUAGCGGGCAAGCCGAAGAUUGUGUUUAUCAAUGCGGGCAGUUGGGAAGAAUCUCCUGAAGAUCUGGAUGGUGAUUACGAUGAGGUUGAUGCAUGCGUCACUAGUAAUGAGGAGACAGAGCCCAAAGGAAAAGACUAUCUGUAUCCCAAAGGAGUGUGACUUUAUCCAUGUAUACUCUCCAGUCACAUUUGGUCACCAAAAGGCUGGCAAUGUGGAACAAGGGAACAUAUUCCUGACAGCUCUAAGUGAGAUGUGCCUCAAACUGGACAGUGAGCCUCUGGAGUUCUGUGACAUGCUGACAAGAACCAACAGACAGGUGGCACACCGAGUCAGGUCAGCUUCCAACAUCCCAGCCAGACCCUGCUUCUUCCUGUCAACUCUCACCAAGGAACUCUACCUGACCCCCAAUACAUAGACAACAAGAUGGAGGGUAUACACUUUAUGCUUACAGUCAGAUGGGAAAGCCUACAGCUCUGUUGUGUGUACACAUUUAUCAGACAAUAUGGAUUCUCCUGGCACCCAACACACAGACACCAAGGUGAAGGUCAUAUAUGUGAUGCUUACAGUCAGGGGGAUUCUGUGUUGACCCAACACAUAGACACUAAGGUUUGCAAGCUGGGUAUUGCUUUUCAGUGAUGCAGUCAACAAUAUUACUACAGCUUGUAAAUAAUCAAGUCCAGACAACCAAAGCUGUAGUUGAUAUUUAUGAAGGACCUUUAUGUUUGCAAUGAAAUAUAUGUAUUUACUUCUAAGAGGCUUUGCUCUCUUCAAAAGACAUGAGUGGCAUGAUCAAUCAUUUUGUAAAGAGUGAAUACUUAUUUUUGGUUUCAUAUUUUCAUUCAUCUUCUCAACUUGUAUCUUCUAUUUUUCUCAUCUUAACAAUCAUGAAGUGUGAAAGCAUAUGAAAAUAAAGACAUACUUGUAUUA